rnacentral:rRNA from 1 species
CCUACGGGGGGCAGCAGUGGGGAAUAUUGGACAAUGGGCGAAAGCCUGAUCCAGCCAUGCCGCGUGUGUGAAGAAGGCCUUCGGGUUGUAAAGCACUUUCAGUGGGGAAGAAAGCCUUGGGGCUAAUACCCUCGAGGAAGGACAUCACCCACAGAAGAAGCACCGGCUAACUCCGUGCCAGCAGCCGCGGUAAUACGGAGGGUGCGAGCGUUAAUCGGAAUUACUGGGCGUAAAGCGCGCGUAGGCGGUCUGAUAAGCCGGUUGUGAAAGCCCCGGGCUCAACCUGGGAACGGCAUCCGGAACUGUCAGGCUAGAGUGCAGGAGAGGAAGGUAGAAUUCCCGGUGUAGCGGUGAAAUGCGUAGAGAUCGGGAGGAAUACCAGUGGCGAAGGCGGUCUUCUGGACUGACACUGACGCUGAGGUGCGAAAGCGUGGGUAGCAAACAGGAUUAGAUACCCGGGUAGUC